GAGAAAUCCAUUCUUAACAGUUAAUUAACCACUGCAGGAAGGCUUAGAGUGGGCAUGUUAGAUACUAUGAAAACAGUACAAUGAAAACUGGGAAUCAACUACUGCCUAGCCUGUCAGCUGGUUUGAAUACAAGACACUAAUUGCUAAGUGACUGUGCCUUCACCAGAUGCCCAAGGGCUCAUUAACCUCAGUGGGAUAACAGACCCAUUAACAGGCUCGUCUAUGGAUUAAUCAUUCAAGGCUUAUGGAGACCUACAUUCUUCCACUGUAGGUUAAAUUAAUUCCAUACCUUCAUAUUCCCAAAGAAUCUUUGGGAAUACCUUUUUUUUAUAACCUCUCUCCUAUCAGAGCUCAACCAGGCUUUAGGAGGCUAGCAAGGAACUUUAUUGUGGCUUAAUUAGUGUGUUGAAAAUGAGCUCGAAGUGCUUUUUUUAAUUAUUAUUUUUUUAUUAUUAUUUUUUUUUUCCCUGAAUAAAAAAAAGGAUGUAAAUUGUGUUUUGGUAGGUUUGUUUGUUUGUUUGUGAUGUUUGUUUGAAAUAUUGGCUGAAAUUCCAAUGACACUCUGAAAAUAUGUCUGAGAUUGCUCUUCUGCUGUUUCUCAGAUCUAGAAUUGGUUUCUGAGAACAUAGUGGUGAAGAGUCAAUCUGGACAACCAGUGCGGGCUGUUCUUUCAUCUGAGCUGCCAGGCUGAAGCAACAGCUGAGAAGAGAAGUCUCCUAGGAGGUAAAACACUACCAAAUAGCUUGGCUAAUUCUGCCACUUCAAAAGCUUUAAAAACUUCCUUACCUGAGGGAACACUGGAUUUUAUAAGUAAUCUAGUUUUAGGAAGUGUGGCUCUGUGAGAAAGGGCCUCAUUAUGCCAUGUGCUGAGUAGGAGGCAAAGCUCCUGUCUAGC
rnacentral:lncRNA from 1 species